UGUUUUCUUUUGUUCUGUUUUGUUUUUGAGACAGGGUCUUGCUAAAUUGUCCAGCCUGGCCUUGAACUUAUAUCCUCCUGCUUCAGCCUGUGAUCCCUGAAUAGUGGGAUCACAGGCAUGUGCCAUUCUUACACCUUUUCUCUCUAGCACAUGAUGCAGAAUACGUAUCUAGGAUGUUUGGGGAAGGAAGAGAGAGGGAAGAGGGGAGAAAAGGAAACACCACAUAGCACUCAGACUUGUUCUGUUCAGGAAUAUGCUGGGUUAAAUAAUUUAUUGCUGGACAUAGAGGUGCACAUCUAUAAUUUCAGCAGCUUGAGAGGCUGAGGCAAGAGGCCAGCCUGGAUAACUUAGGAAGACCCUGUCUCAAAAUAAAGAACAGAUAAAUAGGGCUGGGGAAGUAGUUCAGUGGUAGGUUCAAUCUCCAAUACUAUAAAAAACAAACAAACAAAAAUCUCCUUCCUCACCUACUGGAGAGCCCACAGUGAGGUCCCUCUCAAAAUGCCCACACAUACCAUGAUUGUGGAGGAGGGAAGAUUUGGGAAGGGCUGGCCUAACUUGGCCUUUAUUUACUAUGGACCCUGAAACUAGGAUGUUAGCAGGGUCCACAGCAGGUUGGCUGAGCAUCAAGACAGUGAGGGAACACCCCCAUGGUUAAAAAUGAGGACAAAAGAAACUCUGUGUAUAACCACAAGAAUGGGAAGUUAUACUCCAUGUAUGUAUUGUAUGUCACAAUACAUUCUACUGUCAUGUAUAACCAAAAAAUAAAGAAACUCAGAGUGCCGCGCUUCGAAACUGGUGCUAUGGCAGCUGUGAGGUCUGCUUACAGCCUCUGCAGAGAUGAUGAAGUUGGGGUGAUUCUAGGGUGGCAGUGGAAGCUGCAGCCCCAAAGAACUAUCCCGGCUGUAUCAAGGUGAAGCUAGAAAAAACUCCACCCACUGGCACCAGGAGGCACCUGACAGAAUUGACUCAAGAAGAUGGAGCUGGGAGGCCAAGGUGACCAGAGUUCAACGGGAACAUCAAACAAGCAUGUGGAGUGAUUAAAAACAUCUAGAAUCAGAUCUUUUAAAACAUCAGGGCUGGGGACAUAGCUCAGUUGGUAGAGUGCUUGCCUUGCAUGCACAACCUCCUGGGUUCAAGCCCCAGCACCACAGGAAAAAAAAAAUGUUCCCCUGACCACCACCACCAAAAAGAAGAAAAGCAGGGAAGAGAAGACACACAGGAAGGAAAAAAAGAGAAAUUAUAAAUAUAGCAUAAAUGAAGAAUUACUGAAUCUGGCUUGGUGCCGUGGCACAGCCGUAAUCCCAGGAUCUCAGGAGGCUGAGGCAGGAGAUCACAAGUUCAAGGGGAGGAGAAAAUGUGUGUUCUGGUGGUCGUUGGAGUCUUCACAUCAGACACAAAGAGGUAAAGUCUCUUUUUUGUUGGGGAGUAAAGCCAUGACAAAGAUAUGAGUAGGGGAGGAUAAUAAGGGUAAGGUUUUGGAGGCCUUCAAGAUGGAUAAUAUAUCCCUUCCCAGCAAGAGGACCAGCUAUUGAGGCAUAACCAAAAAAUUAUGUGAAAAGGAGAACUCGGAUAAGGAGCAAGUGAGGGGAGGAGUUCUGCGUGGGAUGAUGGUUGUAACCCCUACCCCAACAAUAGGAGAUUUGGAGGGAUAGGUAGUUCCCCAAAACUCUCUCAGAACCGAGAAUGUGGCCCCAGUGUCUACCAAAGAGUUUAUGGGACGCCCAUCCACUCGGAUAACUACCCUGCGUUCCUGCUUGGUAAUUGAAUAGGUAGGGACAGAAGACUCAGGGCCCCGUCAAUCCUCGGCUGCUAGGCCCAGCAAGUCACUGGUGGAAGGACUGACCUCAGCUCCCCUCCGGGAAUUGGGGCAGUCCGAUCCCCAGUGGCCAGAACAUCGGCAUCUGGGGCAUGGUCAGGGCGGUGCCCUGGGGUUAGGGCAAGCCCUAGCCCAGUGUCCUUUGUUGCCACACUUAAAGCAGGACCCAGGGGAUCCUCGUUAUGGGGGUUGUUGUCUCCCUUUUCCAUAGGUUGGAAGGAGCCCUGUGCUCUCUCAUCUCUGUUGUGGUAGACCUUGAAGGCCAUGGCCAACAUCUCGGUCUAAGGAGUCAAGGGUCUCCUCUCUAAUUCUUUUAGCUUUGCCAGUAUGUCAGGGUAGCUUUGUGAGAACACAUAGGUCAUAAAAAGUUGCCUCCCUUUGGACUCAGGGUCCAAAUUAGUGUACUGAAGGAGAGCCUUUGUUAAUCGGUCUAGGGAGGCUGAGGGUUUUUCAUUCUUCUCCUGGAUGACUUCCUGGAGUUUAUCAAAGUUAAUACCUUUUUGUGCUGCUGCCCUUAGGCCAGCCAUCAGACAACUAAUAAGGUGGUCCCUGUGUCUCAGGUCUUGGAGAUCAUUAUAACCCCUAUGAGGGUCUUGGUCUGGAACUGCCUGGGCCCCUAGGGGAUGGUGGGCAUCAGUCUGAUGAAUCUGGUCUACAUAGGUCCUAGCCUGUCCCAGACCCUUCUCCUUUCCUCAGGGAGGAGAAUUUUGGACAGAAUCAUAUAGAGACCAUGAAAGGUAAUGCCAUAGACUUGGGUUAAGUAUUGAAACUCUUUAAUAUAAGAGACAGAGUUUGCAGGGUAAAAUCCUAAUUUUUCUCUACUUGAGAAAGGUCAAGCAUAGAGAAAGGAAUAUAAACCCUUAAAAUCCCAUCUGGCCCGGCUACCUCUCCAAGGGGGGCCACAACAUGUGAAGUUUGAGUUGGGUGAUGAGAUAUAGUGACUUAUGGGUGAGGUGCUGCAUUAGUGCAUAAACAGGUGGCGGGUGGGUGGACUAAACUGAGGUGGAGGGCAGAAGGAAUGUAAAUGGGAGGAGGUUCGGGGGGAGUGUCAACAGAAGAAGAAGCCGCAGAUGUAGAAGAUGGGGAAGUGGGAGGGGGUAAAGUUGGGAAAGCAGGGCUGAGGGUGGGGAAUAGUGGUGAGGAGGUGGUUCGUCAGCCGGGUGGAAAGUGGAGGCAGAGAGCAGAAAGAAGGCGUGGAGGCAGAGAGUAGAGAAGGAGAGGAAGGAGGCUUGAGAGCAAGGAGUAGAUGUUGAGGCUUGCAUUGGGUGCAGAGAUUUGGGUGAGAUCAUAGCAAGGACAAAGCCUCUACAUAAAGAAUCUCGUUCCACUUCUUUGAUCACUCACAGUAAUUAAAAAGAUUCCAGAGUAAAUUGGGAUCCAGAGACCCACACUUGGGCCAAACGUUUUAGUUGUCUAGGGGGUAUGUAGGCCAGUCCUGGGUACAGAAUUUUAUGAGCCUUUUUGGUUUAAUAUCAGGGGCCAGGCUCAUGGUUGUCAAAUUAUCUAAGAGGCUCUGCAAAGGAGAAUUGGCAAGAAGGGAUGAGGAAUUUCCCAUGCUAGAAGGGCUAGAUGAGAGUCAGAGAAAGAGAGAGGGAGAAGCCCUGGGCCAAAAAGAGCUUCCUGGAAGCUCCAGAGCGGAUGGAGGGUCAAGUGGACAUCCCCAAAAUGACAGAGGGCACUGCCUGGUGGUCACCAGGAGAGUGCCAUCUGUGAGAACCAAAUAGGGCCAAGGCCAUGGGCAACCUGACAUCAGGAGUUUUUCGAGUGGAACAAAAGAAUCAGAAGGAGACUUUUUCUGGGUGGAACAGUUUCAAGCGGAACAGAGGAGUCACAACUAGGGAGAGACAGACUGUGGCAGCUGCCCUAGCCUGCCCACAGGAGAUGAGAGUGAGGGGAGAUGGAGGAGUCAGAAAGGGAGAAUCUAUCCUGUGUCCCAGGAGGUUGACUCCCAGGGGCCCACCACACCCUGACAGGUCUGAGUGGGGUGCGUUUACCUCCUAUAACACCCGGAGGGAUUGCGGACACUCAAUGGUCAAUUCCCUCAUUCUGGUGAGUUAGGGUUCAGGUGCUCAUGGGAUGGGGGAACUCACCUAUCCGCCAGUCAGUGGUGGGUGUCAGGCAGGUGAUCAGAGGAGUGGACUAUGACAGGAACAGUUGGGCUCAGAGUUUGGGAACCAGUUCUGCCUUGGGUGAUGGAGAUCCCUGUCCCAGGUUUGGGCAUCAAUGUAAGGAUCUUAUAGUAACCCCUCCAAAAAUAAAAAUAAACUGCUGAAUUUGAGUAAA